rnacentral:rRNA from 1 species
GACGCAGUUGUCUGGUCUGCCUAACGGUAAGUACCGGUUAACUGCGUCUUCCUUUCUGGAGAUUCUGGCUGUUCUUAACCGAGUGGCCAGGAGAACCAGGACUUUUACUUUGAAAAAAUUAGAGUGUUUCAGGCAGGCAAUUGCUUGGAUACUGCAGCAUGGAAUAAUGGAAUAGGACUUUGACCUAUUUGUUGGUUUCUCGAGGUCAAAGUA